AGGAAAGCCCAUUCCCCCCCAGGUGUGGGGACUUAAACUCACUUUGGAGUGGGUUUACUUAACCUGCUCUCUAGCAGGUUAAAUGUAUGUCUGGAAGCACCCCCAGGCAUUCCAGAAAGAGGCCAUUUGUUGACGGAAUUGAACACAACUGAAAAAUCCAAAUGCAUUAACAGAGACACAUUCCUUCUGUCAGUACUCAAGAAAAGACCAUCCAAUAAGUCAACGAUAGAGAUCACGGCUCUAUAUCCUGCUCUGAAGCUGAUUUGAAGUAUAUAGAUAAAACAUGUAUCAUCUAAGACUUUCUGGAGUGUUUCUGCCAGAUUCACAGCAAACCAUCGCGUCAAACCAAGCUUUCAGGAAGCUGGGUGAGAAUCAUUUCAUCGGAUGCCUGAAGCUACACUGAGAUAGGAACAUAUGCAUAUUCUCCAGAUUUCAAAGAAGAUAAUGUCACCAUCUGCAAAACUUGUGACUUCAUUUCACAAUCACAGCUUGCAAGAAAUCUUUCAAGACUGUAGGUCCUAAGAUCCACAUUUUCCUAAUACUCAAGUUUAGUAUAUUUGCAUUAAAAGUGAUCUAUACAAGUGUA